UAACCUAGUCUACAUAAAUACCAUACCGAGAUAAACAUUCUCCCGUUCUCCGUUAUCUUGAAAAAUGUCUAAUUUCGCGCCAUAUCGUCCGCGUUGUCUUUCUAAUAUUUGUAUUUUCCCGCUCCCAACGGCGACCCCUGUCGAUCCAUCGAAUCGAUCUCGUUCACUACAACGUGCAUUACACGUUGUAAACGCGGGAAUUCUGUCGUCUUGAUCAUCCAAAACGAAAGUUGUACUUAUGAAAGGAUUAAUUGGGCUCAUGAUAAAUUAAAAUACAUCUAUGAAGCAACAUGGCUUUAUUGACAUCUUUCCUAGUAUAAAAGGAAUAAUUACACAUCUCGUUCAGCUAGUAUAUUUUUCAUCGCUUGUCGUUACAAAUAAAUGCGCAGCAUAUACGUUUUUUCAUUCAGAAUGUAUAUUCACUCCUAUUACUAUCGACCAUUUUUACAAAGGUAUGGAUAAGAAAUAUAAAUACAACUUAUUAAGUCAUUACGCGGUGAACAAAAUUGAACGCAACUUUUCGACACUUUGCAGUUCAUCUUUUUUUUUUUUCUUAUAUUCAGAAUUGUUUUACGACACUAGUAGAUUAUUUCAGUAUCAAUUUUGAUUAUAGCUUGAAGAAUACAGUCUCUCAAUGAUAUCAUUGAUCAGACAUGAUAUCUCAAUCAUGAUUUUAAAAGGUUUAAAAAGAGCAGUUUUCAAUAAACACCCAGGUUAUUAUAAAAACUAGAAAAUUGUAAAUACUACAAAGUUCAACAAAAUCAAUGUUACUAUAUUUAUAUUGUUCACAAGGUAUAAAUAAAGACCGAUUGUAAUUAUA